GGAUGAACCCUUGGAGAGACUCGAAAUAGAGCACCGAAGGAGAAAGUUAUGCGAAAGUUGCAUAGCGAAACUCUCAGGUAAAAGGACAGGGGACAGAUA
rnacentral:ncRNA from 2 species